GAUUAUCUAGUCCCCCUUAAUAGUAUUUCAUAGUAUUGGUGUAUAGUUUUUCUUAUUUUCAAAAAUAUAUAUAUUUAAAAUCUCAGAAAAGGAAGGAGAUAAAUAAAAAAAACAGAUUCUCACAGAUGAAAAAAAAAAGAGAAAAAUAAUUUUUUUCGAUGAAUAGAAAAAGAAAAUUUAAAAAGAACAAAAAAUAGGUGAUAAAUAAGUAGAAUAACGGGCAAAAAAGCUCAAAUAGCAGUAAUUUGUUUAAGGG
rnacentral:lncRNA from 1 species